CCAGACUCCUACGGGAGGCAGCAGUAGGGAAUCUUCCGCAAUGGACGAAAGUCUGACGGAGCAACGCCGCGUGAGUGAUGAAGGUUUUCGGAUCGUAAAACUCUGUUGUUAGGGAAGAACAAGUACGAGAGUAACUGCUCGUACCUUGACGGUACCUAACCAGAAAGCCACGGCUAACUACGUGCCAGCAGCCGCGGUAAUACGUAGGUGGCAAGCGUUGUCCGGAAUUAUUGGGCGUAAAGCGCGCGCAGGCGGUCCUUUAAGUCUGAUGUGAAAGCCCACGGCUCAACCGUGGAGGGUCAUUGGAAACUGGGGGACUUGAGUGCAGAAGAGAAGAGUGGAAUUCCACGUGUAGCGGUGAAAUGCGUAGAGAUGUGGAGGAACACCAGUGGCGAAGGCGACUCUUUGGUCUGUAACUGACGCUGAGGCGCGAAAGCGUGGGGAGCAAACAGGAUUAGAUACCCUGGUAGUCCACGCCGUAAACGAUGAGUGCUAAGUGUUAGAGGGUUUCCGCCCUUUAGUGCUGCAGCAAACGCAUUAAGCACUCCGCCUGGGGAGUACGGCCGCAAGGCUGAAACUCAAAUGAAUUGACGGA
rnacentral:rRNA from 2 species